AACGAACGCUGGCGGCAUGCCUAACACAUGCAAGUCGAACGAGACCUUCGUGUCUGCUUGCUCACGGGUGCGUAACGCGUCGGAACCUUCCCUUAGGUUCGGGAUAACUCCCCGAAAGGGGUGCUAAUACCGGAUAAUGUCCUCGAACCAAAGAUUCAUCGCCUUUGUGUGGGCAGGCGUUGUAUUAGCUUGUUGGUAGUGUAAAAGCCUAUGAAGGCUUCGAUCCAUAGCUGGGAUGAGAGGAUGAGCAGACACACUGGGACUGAGACACGGCCCAGAAUACUACGGGAGGCAGCAGAGGGGAAUAUAGGAAAACGGCCGAAAGGCUGAUCCAGCAAUGCCGCGUGAGUGAUGAAGGCGUUAGGGUUGUAAAGCUCUUUUACACGGGAUGAUAAUGACAGUACCGGGAGAAUAAGCUCCGACUAACUCCGUG
rnacentral:rRNA from 1 species